AGUGAACGCUGGCGGUAGGCCUAACACAUGCAAGUCGAACGGCAGCACAGUAAGAGCUUGCUCUUACGGGUGGCGAGUGGCGGACGGGUGAGGAAUACAUCGGAAUCUACUUUUUCGUGGGGGAUAACGUAGGGAAACUUAAGCUAAUACCGCAUACGAUCUACGGGUGAAAGCAGGGGAUCUUCGCACCUUGCGCGAUUGAAUGAGCCGAUGCCGGAUUAGCUAGUUGGCGGGGUAAAGGCCCACCAAGGCGACGAUCCGUAGCUGGUCUGAGAGGAUGAUCAGCCGCACUGGAGCUGAGACACGGUCCAGACUCCUACGGGAGGCAGCAGUGGGGAAUGUUGGACAAUGGGCGCAAGCCUGAUCCAGCCAUACCGCGUGGGUGAAGAAGGCCUUCGGGUUGUAAAGCCCUUUUGUUGGGAAAGAAAAGCAGCAGGUUAAUACCCCGCGGUUCUGACGGUACCCAAAGAAUAAGCACCGGCUAACUUCGUG
rnacentral:rRNA from 1 species